rnacentral:rRNA from 1 species
ACGAACGCUGGCGGCGUGCCUAAUACAUGCAAGUAGAACGCUGAAGAGAGGAGCUUGCUCUUCUUGGAUGAGUUGCGAACGGGUGAGUAACGCGUAGGUAACCUGCCUUGUAGCGGGGGAUAACUAUUGGGAACGAUAGCUAAUACCGCAUAACAAUGGAUGACCCAUGUCAUUUAUUUGAAAGGGGCAAAUGCUCCACUACAAGAUGGACCUGCGUUGUAUUAGCUAGUAGGUGAGGUAACGGCUCACCUAGGCGACGAUACAUAGCCGACCUGAGAGGGUGAUCGGCCACACUGGGACUGAGACACGGCCCAGACUCCUACGGGAGGCAGCAGUAGGGAAUCUUCGGCAAUGGGGGCAACCCUGACCGAGCAACGCCGCGUGAGUGAAGAAGGUUUUCGGAUCGUAAAGCUCUGUUGUAAGUCAAGAACGAGUGUGAGAGUGGAAAGUUCACACUGUGACGGUAGCUUACCAGAAAGGGACGGCUAACUACGUGCCAGCAGCCGCGGUAAUACGUAGGUCCCGAGCGUUGUCCGGAUUUAUUGGGCGUAAAGCGAGCGCAGGCGGUUUGAUAAGUCUGAAGUUAAAGGCUGUGGCUCAACCAUAGUUCGCUUUGGAAACUGUCAAACUUGAGUGCAGAAGGGGAGAGUGGAAUUCCAUGUGUAGCGGUGAAAUGCGUAGAUAUAUGGAGGAACACCGGUGGCGAAAGCGGCUCUCUGGUCUGUAACUGACGCUGAGGCUCGAAAGCGUGGGGAGCGAACAGGAUUAGAUACCCUGGUAGUCCACGCCGUAAACGAUGAGUGCUAGGUGUUGGAUCCUUUCCGGGAUUCAGUGCCGCAGCUAACGCAUUAAGCACUCCGCCUGGGGAGUACGACCGCAAGGUUGAAACUCUAAGGAAUUGACGGGGGCCCGCACAAGCGGUGGAGCAUGUGGUUUAAUUCGAAGCAACGCGAAGAACCUUACCAGGUCUUGACAUCCCGAUGCUAUUUCUAGAGAUAGAAAGUUACUUCGGUACAUCGGUGACAGGUGGUGCAUGGUUGUCGUCAGCUCGUGUCGUGAGAUGUUGGGUUAAGUCCCGCAACGAGCGCAACCCCUAUUGUUAGUUGCCAUCAUUCAGUUGGGCACUCUAGCGAGACUGCCGGUAAUAAACCGGAGGAAGGUGGGGAUGACGUCAAAUCAUCAUGCCCCUUAUGACCUGGGCUACACACGUGCUACAAUGGUUGGUACAACGAGUCGCGAGUCGGUGACGGCAAGCUAAUCUCUUAAAGCCAAUCUCAGUUCGGAUUGUAGGCUGCAACUCGCCUACAUGAAGUCGGAAUCGCUAGUAAUCGCGGAUCAGCACGCCGCGGUGAAUACGUUCCCGGGCCUUGUACACACCGCCCGUCACACCACGAGAGUUUGUAACACCCGAAGUCGGUGAGGUAACCUUUUGGAGCCAGCCGCCUAAGGUGGGAUAGAUGAUUGGGGUG